rnacentral:rRNA from 1 species
UACGUAGGGUGCAAGCGUUAAUCGGAAUUACUGGGCGUAAAGCGUGCGCAGGCGGUUUUGUAAGUCAGAUGUGAAAUCCCCGGGCUUAACCUGGGAACUGCGUUUGAAACUACAAGGCUAGAGUGUGGCAGAGGGGGUGGAAUUCCGACGGUGUAGCAGUGAAAUGCGUAGAGAAUGUGGAGGAACACCGAUGGCGAAGGCAGCCCCCUGGGUUAACACUGACGCUCAGGCACGAAAGCGUGGGGAGCAAACAGG